rnacentral:lncRNA from 1 species
CCAAAUCAAAUUUUUGGGGAAAAUCAGCUCUGGAUCACCCUUUCUCUCCUCUCUUCCUCAUCCGUUCUUAGUCAAAUCAGUCCUCUCUCUCCUUUCUCACCCUUUCUAUCUCCUUUCUCGGUUGAUCGUUCUCAUCUGGUCGCCUUCUCAGACGAUCGUUCCCUUCCGGUCAAAUUUGCCCUCCAGUCGAUUCUUCUCAUCUGGUCGUGUGUGCGCUGCCGACAAGUGGCCCUCCGGUAGUGAAUCGUACGGCUGGAGGUGAUUCCCUAUUUCCCUCUAUUUCUCUCGCUCAUUACGCGACUAUAUUGACUGUACAUAGAAG